AGAUGCGAUCAUACCAGCACUAAUGCACCGGAUCCCAGCAGAACUCUGCAGUUAAGGGUGCUUGGGCGAGAGUAGUACUAGGAUGGGUGACCUCCCGGAAAGUCCUCGUGUUGCAUCCC
rnacentral:rRNA from 1 species